CGGUGUUGAUCUGGUCUGGGCUGAUGAAGUGAAUGUGCGUGUCAAUCCCGCCGGCCGUGAGGAUUUUGCCCUCACCGGCAAUGACGUCGGUGGCCACGCCGAUGGGGAUGGUCACACCGUCCAUGGUUUUCGGAUUGCCGGCCUUGCCGAUGCGGUAAAUAUGCGCAUCACGAAUAGCCAGGUCAGCCUUGUAAAUUCCGGUGUAAUCAAUGAUCAGUACAUUGGUGAUCACUACAUCCGGCACGUCCUCGUGCCUUUGCCGUUCGCCGUCCUGGCCCAUGCCGGCUCG
rfam:Corynebacterium durum F0235 genomic scaffold Scfld66, whole genome shotgun sequence.